AGAGUUUGAUCCUGGCUCAGAACGAACGCUGGCGGCAGGCCUAACACAUGCAAGUCGAACGCGACCUUCGGGUCGAGUGGCGCACGGGUGAGUAACGCGUGGGAAUCUGCCCUGUGGUACGGAAUAACAUCGGGAAACUGGUGCUAAUACCGUAUAUCCCCUGAGGGGGAAAGAUUUAUCGCCAUGGGAGGAGCCCGCGUAGGAUUAGCUAGUUGGUGAGGUAACGGCUCACCAAGGCGACGAUCCUUAGCUGGUCUGAGAGGAUGAUCAGCCACACUGGGACUGAGAUACGGCCCAGACUCCUACGGGAGGCAGCAGUGGGGAAUAUUGGACAAUGGGGGAAACCCUGAUCCAGCCAUGCCGCGUGUGUGAUGAAGGCCUUCGGGUUGUAAAGCACUUUCGCACGUGACGAUGAUGACGGUAACGUGAGAAGAAGCCCCGGCUAACUUCGUGCCAGCAGCCGCGGUAAUACGAAGGGGGCAAGCGUUGUUCGGAAUUACUGGGCGUAAAGGGCGCGUAGGCGGUGCACUAAGUCAGGCGUGAAAGCCCUGGGCUCAACCCGGGAAUUGCGCUUGAUACUGGUGCGCUUGAAUCCAGGAGAGGUUGGUGGAAUUCCCAGUGUAGAGGUGAAAUUCGUAGAGAUUGGGAAGAACACCGGUGGCGAAGGCGGCCAACUGGACUGGUAUUGACGCUGAGGCGCGAAAGCGUGGGGAGCAAACAGGAUUAGAUACCCUAGUAGUCC
rnacentral:rRNA from 1 species